UACGUAGGGGGCAAGCGUUGUCCGGAUUUAUUGGGCGUAAAGAGCGUGUAGGCGGCCAAGCAGGUCCGUUGUGAAAACUGGAGGCUUAACCUCCAGACGUCGACGGAAACCGCGUGGCUAGAGUCCGGAAGAGGAGAGUGGAAUUCCUGGUGUAGCGGUGAAAUGCGCAGAUAUCAGGAAGAACACCAAUGGCGAAGGCAGCUCUCUGGGACGGUACUGACGCUGAGACGCGAAAGCGUGGGGAGCAAACAGG
rnacentral:rRNA from 1 species